CUUAAACAAACUUCUAUAUGCUAGUCCUCAAUGAGGAAAGACUGGUGGCAAACUGAUAGUAUUGAAAAGCUAUCAGGUGCCGGUCAAAGGUGUUAACAUUUUCUUAAUGUUUGAAAUUUUCUUAGCACCAGUCGGGAUACAAGUCAUUAACAGUUUGAUAUCCAAAAUCAAAUUUUUGGUAUCCUGUGGAUAUCGGAUACUGCAAAUUUCAGACCAUGGGUAGUUGCGACACGAACAGAAAGUCUGUUAAUUUAAUUCAUAGAAUAGCAUGUUAAAUUUUCCUGGCACUCAUAGAUUUUCAAUGACAGGCUGACAAGUGCAUCGCACGUCUAACAGUG